UUUCUGCAUUUUAUUUACGGUGCUUUACCCAACAUUUGAUUCAGAGAAGGGGAUGAAAAUAUUUUUUAGAUAAAAAUCUAAAAGCUUAAUUCAUUGUGGGCAUCAAGAAAAUAAAGAAAGGAGAAGGGUAACAUUCAAAAAUUGUCAAAAUUUUCAAUCUCCAGGUGAGACCGCCUCAAGAAAAUACGCUUUUUCUCUGUGCAUCCGGGUCGACUUGGCGCUUGCGCAUGAGAAUUCAAAUUGGCUCGGCGACGUCGUUUAUUAGACUCCGAGUCCGAGAGCACGCAGCAAAGAGAUAGCUAGGAUUCUGCGGACCGCUCCGAAGCUCUCCGUUGCUGAUCAUGGCGUCUGGUUCGCCACGGACGCGCAUCGAUAAGUUCUUUGUUUCGAAGAAAAGGAAGCCCAUAUCACCUGGUUUCAAGUCUGAGAGAAGCAAAAUUGUUGGAAAAACUACCGUGGAAGGGUCUCCAAGUGCCAAAGGUACUCUGGACAAUUGCUUGGUGACUUCACAGGAUGAUAAGCAUUCGGUUAAGCCCUCAUAUUCAGCUGGUGAUUCUGGGCAAGAUGCAGUUAAAAGGAAGUUGGCAUUGGAGAUUAAUAAUUCUUCCAAAGAUGAAUUUAAGCGGCCCUUGUUUCCAGAACAAUUGAACUCUCAAACUUUUGAAGCAGUUGAAGCGGUUCAGAAGGAAACAUCUUUGGGAUUAUCUGCUGUGGGUGCUGUUGCAGUAGGAGGAGCAAAGGGUUGCUCAACGUCUACACAGGGUGUUGAUAACCCAGAGCUCAAAAAGUUUGCUGCUGAACUUUUGUCUUUAUAUUGUAGUGACUUUCAAUCAAGUACAAAUUCACAGUCAGAGCUAAAAGUGAAUGACCAAAAGAGACAUCGUAGCCCCUCGUCGCUAGACAGGAAGGAUAAAGCAUGCAAGAAAAUCCAUUGCAAUACUAACCAGUCACAUUUAGAAGGUGAAGUCACUUGCUCAAAUAAGAAGAAUCCAGAGGACAUGCAGUCUGGUUUUAUUGAUAAAGCCGUGGUAUCUGUUUUCAGCUCCUCUAGGGAGGUUACUGAUGGUAAUAGUCCUAUUGAGCUUCAACCAUGCUUGAAAAAAUGCGGUAAUACUCCUAAAUCAUCUGUAAAUAUGGCAGAAUUCUGCACACCGAGUUCUUCAACCGUUAAAGCAUGCGUUUGUGAAACCCCCAUGUCAAGGCAUGGAAGCUCCAUAUUUUCACCAGGAGAAGCUUUUUGGAAUGAAGCAAUUCAACUUGCUGAUGGUUUGUGUGUUCCAGUGGUUAACUUUUCUGCUCGGGCUACUGAAGAAACUAAUAUUGUGAAGACCCAAUUUCAUAUCAUGAAUUCGUGCAAUUUCAGAAAUGGAGUCGGUCAUAACAAGUCAAAGGAAACAUUGGAUGAGGGUGAGAACAGAGCCCGGCAUAUGGAACUAAGUGCUUCUUUGGGGUCACUUGUGAAGCAUACAAAAGAUCUGGACAAAGAAGUAUCCCUGCUUCCUGUUAAGCAUUUUGACUUCUUGUGUGAGGACAAAAAUCUGGAUGAAAGUACCCCACCUCGUCGCGCUGUUGAUGGUUCAGAAUGUGCUACUCUUAGAGGUGGUGAGGAAUCUGAAUGUGGUGCUGUAGAUCACAUAGGGCUAGAAACUAGUAAUAUAUUAAUUCAAUGUGGGAAAGCUCAGACAGAUGAAGAGAUACAUGAGGUACAGGGGAUGACUUCUGGUCUUGCAGUAACUAAGGCGAAAGUGGGUAUAUUGUGUCCAGAAACUGAUUGCAUGACAGCUAAUUCACCAGUUAAUGAAAUCAAGAAUUCAAUUCUUAAACGGGAAUCUGAUGAAGCAAGUACUCCUUCAAGUUUUGUGCUGCUUGAAGAUCGUUUAGAUCUAAACCGUUGGCUUCCAUCUGAAAUAUGCAGUAUCUAUAGAAAGAGAGGAAUUUUGAAAUUGUAUCCUUGGCAGGUUGAGUGCCUUCAGAUGGAUGGUGUCUUGCAGAGAAGAAAUCUAGUAUAUUGUGCAUCUACAAGUGCUGGUAAAAGUUUUGUUGCUGAAAUUUUAAUGUUGCGGCGGGUCAUAUCAACUGGAAAAAUGGCACUACUUGUACUUCCUUAUGUAUCAAUCUGUACAGAAAAGGCAGAACAUCUGGAGGUUCUUCUUGAACCACUUGGUAAGCAUGUUCGUAGUUAUUAUGGAAACCAAGGUGGUGGAACACUUCCCAAAGAUACUUCUGUCGCUGUCUGCACAAUAGAGAAGGCAAACUCUUUGAUAAACAGAUUGCUUGAAGAGGGUCGCCUGUCUGAAAUUGGAAUUAUUGUGAUAGAUGAACUACACAUGGUUGGUGAUCCGAGGAGGGGUUAUCUUUUGGAACUUAUGUUGACAAAGCUUCGUUAUGCAGCUGGUGAAGGCAAUUCAGAGUCCAGCAGUGGGGAAAGUUCAGGUACAAGCAGUGGUAAGGCUGACCCUGCUCAUGGUAUGCAAAUUGUUGGUAUGAGUGCUACCAUGCCGAAUGUGGCAGCAGUUGCUGAUUGGCUUCAAGCGGCAUUAUACCAGACAGAUUUUCGACCAGUUCCAUUAGAAGAAUAUAUUAAAGUUGGUAACACUAUUUAUAACAAAAAAAUGGACAUUGUGAGAACAAUCUCAAAGCAAUAUGAUCUUGGUGGUAAAGAUCCAGAUCAUAUUGUCGAACUAUGUAAUGAGGUUGUUCAAGAGGGUCAUUCAGUAUUGAUAUUUUGCUCUAGUCGAAAAGGGUGUGAAUCAACUGCAAAGCAUAUUUCGAAGUUCCUCAGAAGAUUUUCUGUUAAUGUUCAUAAUGAUGAAAGUGAGUUCGUUGAUAUUACUUCAGCUAUUGACGCCUUGCGAAGGUGUCCUGCUGGACUGGAUCCUAUAUUAGAAGAAACUGUGCCUUCUGGUGUUGCCUAUCACCAUGCUGGGCUCACGGUUGAGGAAAGAGAGAUUGUUGAAACCUGCUAUCGCAGGGGCCUUUUACGUGUCUUAACUGCUACAUCUACCUUAGCUGCUGGGGUUAACCUGCCAGCUAGGAGGGUUAUUUUUCGACAACCCAGGAUUGGUCGUGAUUUUAUUGAUGGAACGAGGUACAAACAGAUGGCUGGUCGGGCUGGUCGGACUGGAAUAGAUACACAGGGGGAAAGUGUAUUAAUUUGCAAACUGGAAGAGAUCAAAAGAAUUAUGGGCCUUCUUAAUGAAAGCUGCCCACCUUUGCAUUCUUGUCUAUCUGAAGAUAUUAAUGGAAUGACUCAUGCUAUUUUAGAAGUUGUGGCUGGCGGAAUUGUCCAAACUGCUGGUGAUAUUCAUCGAUAUGUUAGGUGUACUCUUCUGAAUUCCACCAAACCAUUUCAAGAUGUGGUGAAAUCAGCCCAGGAAUCUCUUCGAUGGUUGUGCCACAGAAAAUUUCUUGAGUGGAAUGAAGAUACUAAGUUAUACAGUACCACACCAUUCGGACGUGCAGCUUUUGGCAGUUCUCUCAGCCCAGAAGAAUCACUUAUUGUUCUGGAUGAUCUUUCAAGGGCAAGAGAAGGAUUUGUGCUUGCAUCUGAUUUGCAUUUAGUUUACCUAGUAACACCAAUUAAUGUUGAUGUUGAGCCAGAUUGGGAACUGUACUAUGAAAGGUUCAUGGAAUUAUCUGCACUUGACCAGUCAGUUGGCAACCGAGUUGGAGUAGUAGAACCGUUUCUGAUGCGCAUGGCACAUGGAGCACCUAUGCGCGCUAAAAACCAAUCAAGAAACAGCGUGAAGGGGUUGCAUGGCAAAUGUGAAAACCGACUUGGGAUCAGAAACAGUACUAUGCUGUCAGAUGAUCAAACACUUCGAGUGUGUAAACGUUUCAAUGUUGCCCUCAUCUUAUCAAGACUAGUGCAGGAAAUUCCUGUGGCUGAGGUUUGUGAAGCUUUUAAAGUGGCUAGAGGAAUGGUUCAAGCCUUGCAAGAGAAUGCUGGAAGGUUUGCAUCUAUGGUUUCUGUGUUCUGUGAAAGGCUUGGAUGGAAUGAUCUUGAAGGCUUAGUUGCCAAAUUCCAAAAUCGCGUUUCAUUUGGAGUGAGAGCAGAAAUUGUAGAGCUUACUACUAUUCCAUAUGUUAAGGGUUCUCGAGCAAGAGCACUCUACAAAGCUGGCUUGCGUACACCUCUUGCAAUUGCAGAAGCUUCCGUUCCUGAAAUUGUCAAAGCUCUUUUUGAAUCUUCUUCAUGGGCCGGACAAGAAGGUUCAGCACAAAGACACAUACAACUUGGAGUGGCCAAGAAGAUAAAAAGUGGUGCACGCAAAAUUGUUCUUGAUAAAGCUGAAGAAGCAAGGAUUGUUGCCUUCUCAGCUUUUAAAUCACUCGGAUUAGAUGUUCCACACUUUUCUCAACCCGUACUGCCAACUGCCAUUGGUGAUCACGUCAGGCAAGGAGCUGGAACUAUAUCUUCUGGAGAUGGCACUAGUAGUAUCUUUGUUGAUGUAGAGCACACGAAGCCUGUUUCUGCUAAGCCCUCCACUGAAGAAAUUGAGAGUUUUGAUAAAGUUGCUUCAGAAAUUGAAGGAGAGAAGUUUAUGAGAACACCAGAUAUCGUUUUAGUGGCUUCAGCAGAAGUAAACUCAAUAACUGCAAGUUCUGUGGUACCAGUUGAAGGGUCUGUAACCAGUAGUGCUGAGCUGAAUGCUACUGUUGCUACUGCCAAAAGGGCAGAUAUGACUUACACUGUUCAGUUACAAGGUCCUGAUGACGGAAUUGGGAUUUGUGAUGGGUAUCUUCAUCGUGAAGUGAAGGAACCACACAACAGGCAAAAUUUGUGUGUUGACAAUAAGGAAACUGCUUGUGCGAAAGGCCCUAUCAAUGCAAUUAAUACACCUGGGGGAUUUGAUUCCUUCUUGGACCUCUGGGAGACUGCACGGGAAUUCUAUUUUGAUGUCCAUUACAACAAACGACUGGAAAUAAACGCUGUUGCCCCCUUUGAAAUACACGGCAUGGCCAUUUGUUGGGAAAGUUCUCCUGUCUACUAUGUCAAUCUUCCCAAGGAUCUACUGUGGUCUGACAAAAGAAGAGAUGAUUACUUGUCCUUGGGCACAUCUGGUGAUAAGGGUACUUUUUCACCUCAUGAGCAUUGGCUGGAGAUAGUUGGAGAAAGAUGGAAUAGGAUUGGUAAAAUGCUGGGGAAAAGAAAUGUUAGAAAAUUUACUUGGAAUCUAAAAGUUCAGGUUCAGGUUCUUAAAAGUCCUGCAGUUUCAGUUAAGAAAUUUGGUUUAGAUCUUGCUGGGAAAAAUUUAGGUAUUGAACUCAUAGACAACUCAUACUCCUUGUUGUCUCCUGUUCAUGUAAAAGAUGGAAUUGACAUGUGCAUUGUGGCAUGGAUUCUUUGGCCUGAUGAGGAGAGAAGCUCUAACCCAAACCUGGAGAAGGAAGUUAAGAAACGGUUAUCCAGUGAGGCUGCAGCAACUGCAAAUCAGAGUGGCAGGUGGAAGAAUCAGAUGCGAAGAGCUGCACAUAAUGGGUGCUGCCGUCGGGUUGCACAAACACGAGCCUUAUGUUCUGUCCUCUGGAAGUUGCUUAUUUCCGAAGAGCUUAUUGAAGCCCUUAUGAAUAUAGAAAUCCCAUUGGUUAAUGUUCUUGCAGACAUGGAGCUUUGGGGAAUAGGUGUUGACAUGGAAGGAUGCCUUCAGGCACGUAAUGUGUUGGGGAAAAAGCUUAGACAUCUUGAGAAGGAAGCUCAUAAGCUGGCUGGCAUUACAUUUUCAUUAUAUACAGCAGCAGAUAUUGCAAAUGUACUGUAUGGACACUUGAAGCUGCCCAUACCAGAGGGGCAUGACAAGGGAAAGCAACAUCCAAGUACUGACAAGCAUUGCUUGGAUAUAUUAAGGCAUGAGCAUCCUAUUAUUCCAGUCAUUAAAGCGCACCGUACGUUGGCAAAGCUCCUGAACUGCACGUUGGGAUCAAUUUGUUCACUGGCUAGGCUAUCAAUGCGGACACAGAGGUACACACUUCAUGGUCAUUGGCUCCAAACGUCAACUGCAACUGGUCGGCUUUCAAUGGAAGAACCUAAUCUUCAGUGUGUUGAGCAUGAGGUCGACUUCAAAAUGAACGAGGACAAAAAUGGGGGGGAUGCUAAUGCUGAUCAUUACAAAAUUAAUGCUCGUGAUUUCUUUGUUCCUACACAGGACAACUGGUUAUUGUUAGCAGCAGAUUAUUCUCAAAUAGAACUGCGGCUGAUGGCACAUUUUUCUAAAGACUCCUCAUUAAUUCAACUUCUCAGCACGCCACAUGGUGAUGUUUUUACUAUGAUAGCUGCAAGAUGGACUGGAAAACCAGAUGAUUGUGUUGACUCAAAUGAACGAGACCAGACCAAGAAGCUAGUGUAUGGCAUUCUUUAUGGAAUGGGUGCAAACACCCUCGCAGAACAACUACGUUGCAGCUCAGAUGAAGCUGCAGAAAAAAUCCGAAACUUCAAAAGCUCUUUUCCUGGUGUUGCUUCUUGGCUUCGUGAAGCCAUUGCAUAUUGCCGUCAGAAAGGAUAUGUAGAAACCCUAAAGGGAAGAAAGCGUUUUUUGUCAAAAAUUAAAUUUGGAAACAGUAAGGAAAGAUCAAAAGCCCAGAGACAAGCUGUGAAUUCCAUUUGUCAGGGGUCUGCUGCUGACAUUAUUAAGAUUGCAAUGGUCAAUAUUUACUCCGUGAUUGUUGAAGGAGUUGAUAGGCCAGAUUGUAGUUCACUUGCGACAAAGUUCCAAAUGCUCAAAGGCCACUGCCGAAUCAUAUUGCAGGUACAUGAUGAAUUAGUACUGGAAGUUGAUCCUUCCGUGAUAAAGGAGGCUGCAUUAUUGUUGCAAAUGAGCAUGGAAAAUGCUGCCUUGCUUCUUGUUCCUUUGCAUGUCAAACUGAAAGUGGGAAGAACGUGGGGUUCUUUGGAACCUUUCCAAGCUAUUGUGCCUGAAUAGUGAAUUAAAGGCAAGUUGUUUUAUUCUAGGCAAAGGAAAAAAGAAGUGUUCCAUGUUACUGAACAGGGAUGAUAGAUGGAAGUUUAAAGCAGUGGAAAAGUAUCUGUUCAGGUUAUGCAAUGCAUUCCUUGGGGAAGGGGGCGAGUUAGGAGUGCAUCAAUUGAGUUGCAAUUUUGCAAUUAUUAUUGCCUUUGGUCGAGUCAUCUAGAAGAUUUGCUUUGAAAGAAGAAAUUUGAGAGGUUUGAGCAUCGCUUGUCCCUAGUUGACAGGCUGAUGAGCCCAUUCUCUCAUUAGAUACUGCAUCAGUUAUUGCAUUGGUACAAUGGCAUCCAUAAAUUACCUUUAUUUGCUAUGGCAAUCCGCAUCUAGAAAUACUGCAUGCAGAGGCAAAAUGGGUGUCAGGGAAUUAAGGGAUCCCAUUCCAACUCAAAUGAGGGCUAGGCAAAACAUUAAAGAUACUUUGAAUCCCUUUUACCUGUGGGGAGGCAGAGGUUGAUUCCUUGGAUGGCAACAAAAGAUCAUUUGCUUGCUGGGGAGAUUUUGGGAUAGCUACUGAUAUAUGUCUUGUUCUUUUUCUUGCAUUGCUCAUAUUCUAUAAAUAUUUGGAGCCAAAUCUUCUGCAUAAAAUGGCUGGUGAGGAUGAUUGUUGGCAGUUGGAUUCAGCUGUGACACGUAUUAGAGGUAAUCUGCCCUCGUUAUUAUUCGGAAUGCCGCCUGUUCUGUGACGGUUAUUGCUAUUUGGAAGAAAGGAUGGUAAAUAGCAAAAAGCAUGAGAAAACAUGACAGAAGCAUAUCAUUUUAUCACUUUACUCUAGAGAAAGGAAUGACAGAAGUUAUUCAUCCAAAAAAACAAAAGCAAAGACACAAGUUGAAUGGGAAGUCGGAAAGAAUUUCAUGUUUCGCAAGAGUUUUUGAUUUUCCUGGCAAUAAAGAGGCUUGUCAGCAUCGGGCAUCAGCUCAAAAAGUUUUGUAUUGAUUCAUCAGUUUUGUUUCUGUUGAAUGAGUUCUUUUCAGAACGGCCGUAUCUUCGUUUGUUCUAUAUUUGGAGGACUUUAAACUGUAUUCUCUGUUUUGGUAACAAAAACUGCCAAUAUCUCUGGGUUCAAAAAUUUGCUGUUCCUCUAAACAUGCUUUAAAGAUGUAUUUUAUUUUAACUUUUUUGGAGUUUUCAAAGAUUGCUACUUAAAAGAAUUGAAAAGUUAAAAUGGACUUUUCAUCAGGACACAAUAGUGCAUUGGGUUAAGUUACUUCUUCUUCUUCUUUCUUUUUUAUUUAUUUAUUUGUUUUUUUUACGUACUUUGAUGGUGUACAUGCAUACUUGGUGAAUAUAUUUAUACUAAUGUAAAU